AUAAAAUUAAUCCAAUGGUUAGAAAUAAUCAAUACAGUUGAUCUAAGGGCUAAAAAAUCGGAAGCAUCAAGUUAUUGGUGCUACCAAGUUUUUGGCCAUUGGAUUAAGAGAUGUGCAGUUAGGAUAAUGUGGGCCCCCUAGAAUUGAGUGGGUGGUUUGGUUGAAUAGUAUGAUCUAAUGGGUAAAAAUGAUCAAAAUGGUAGAUCUAACGGCGAAAAACUUGGUACCAAGUGCUUCGUACUAUUAAUAGCAUAGUAGCU
rnacentral:lncRNA from 1 species